rnacentral:rRNA from 1 species
UACGUAGGGUGCGAGCGUUAAUCGGAAUUACUGGGCGUAAAGCGCGCGUAGGCGGCUUUGCAAGUCGAUUGUGAAAUCCCCAGGCUUAACCUGGGAACUGCAUUCGAGACUGCAUAGCUAGAGUAUGGGAGAGGGAAGUGGAAUUUCAGGUGUAGCGGUGAAAUGCGUAGAGACCGGGAAGAACACCAGUGGCGAAGGCGGCUACCUGGACAGGUACUGACGCUGAAGCGCGAAAGCUAGGGGAGCAAACAGG